rnacentral:rRNA from 1 species
AAUCAACGCUGGCGGCGCGCCUAACACAUGCAAGUCGAACGGGAAAGUGGGCAACCAUGAGUACAGUGGCGUACGGGUGAGUAACACGUGGGUAGUCUACCUCUUAGUGGGGAAUAACUUUGGGAAACCGAAGCUAAUACCGCAUAAGCCUGAAAAGGGAAAGCAGCAAUGCGCUGAGAGAGGAGCCCGCGGCCGAUUAGCUAGUUGGCAGGGUAAAAGCCUACCAAGGCAGAGANCGGUAGCCGGCCUGAGAGGGCACACGGCCACACUGGCACUGAAACACGGGCCAGACUCCUACGGGAGGCAGCAGUGGGGAAUCUUGCACAAUGGGGGAAACCCUGAUGCAGCGACGCCGCGUGAGCGAUGAAGCCCUUCGGGUGU